AAUUCAGCUAAAAAAGUCAUGAACAUAAAAGUUGUAGAACUCAUCAAGACAUACAACUUUUAUUUUGGUCAUUUCUUCAUCCGACAAAAUGAUAGUAACAUUGUUCACAAAACUUACCUCUCUCAUUUAGUUUGUAAAACUAAAUGAGAGAGAUGUAAAUUUUGUGAACAAUGUUAUUAUCACUUUGUCGGAUGAAGAAAUGACCAAAAUAAAAGUUAGAGAUCUUGAUGAUUUAUAAACUUUGUUGUUGAUGACUUUUUUAGUUGAAAUC
rnacentral:pre_miRNA from 2 species